rnacentral:rRNA from 1 species
CCUACGGGAGGCAGCAGUGAGGAAUAUUGGUCAAUGGACGAGAGUCUGAACCAGCCAAGUAGCGUGAAGGAUGACUGCCCUAUGGGUUGUAAACUUCUUUUAUAUGGGAAUAAAAUGUUACACGUGUGGGAUUUUGUAUGUACCAUAUGAAUAAGGAUCGGCUAACUCCGUGCCAGCAGCCGCGGUAAUACGGAGGAUCCGAGCGUUAUCCGGAUUUAUUGGGUUUAAAGGGAGCGUAGGUGGCUUGUUAAGUCAGUUGUGAAAGUUUGCGGCUCAACCGUAAAAUUGCAGUUGAAACUGGCAGUCUUGAGUACAGUAGAGGUAGGCGGAAUUCGUGGUGUAGCGGUGAAAUGCUUAGAUAUCACGAAGAACUCCGAUUGCGAAGGCAGCUCACUGGACUGCAACUGACACUGAGGCUCGAAAGUGUGGGGAUCAAACAGGAUUAGAUACCCCAGUAGUC